GUGGUUUAAUUCGAUGAUACGCGAGGAACCUUACCCGGGCUUGAAAGUUAGUGACGGAUGCCGAAAGGUGUCUUCCCUUCGGGGCACGAAACUAGGUGCUGCAUGGUUGUCGUCAGCUCGUGCCGUGAGGUGUCGGGUUAAGUCCCAUAACGAGCGCAACCCCUAUCGUUAGUUACCAGCACGUGAAGGUGGGGACUCUAACGAGACUGCCGGUGUAAGCCGAGAGGAGGGUGGGGAUGACGUCAAAUCAGCACGGCCCUUACGUCCGGGGCGACACACGUGUUACAAUGGUCGGUACAGAGGGCAGCUACCUGGUGACAGGAUGCGAAUCUCNAAAGCCGGUCUCAGUUCGGAUUGGAGGCUGAAACUCGCCUCCAUGAAGUUGGAUUCGCUAGUAAUCGCGCAUCAGCCAUGGCGCGGUGAAUACGU
rnacentral:rRNA from 1 species